AUUGAACGCUGGCGGCAUGCCUUACACAUGCAAGUCGAACGGCAGCACGGGUGCUUGCACCUGGUGGCGAGUGGCGAACGGGUGAGUAAUACAUCGGAACAUGUCCUGUAGUGGGGGAUAGCCCGGCGAAAGCCGGAUUAAUACCGCAUACGAUCUACGGAUGAAAGCGGGGGACCUUCGGGCCUCGCGCUAUAGGGUUGGCCGAUGGCUGAUUAGCUAGUUGGUGGGGUAAAGGCCUACCAAGGCGACGAUCAGUAGCUGGUCUGAGAGGACGACCAGCCACACUGGGACUGAGACACGGCCCAGACUCCUACGGGAGGCAGCAGUGGGGAAUUUUGGACAAAGGGCGAAAGCCUGAUCCAGCAAUGCCGCGUGUGUGAAGGAGGCCUUCGGGUUGUAAAGCACUUUUGUCCGGAAAGAAAUCCUUGGCCCUAAUACGGUCGGGGGAUGACGGUACCGGAAGAAUAAGCACCGGCUAACUACGUG
rnacentral:rRNA from 1 species